rnacentral:rRNA from 1 species
CCUACGGGUGGCAGCAGUGAGGAAUAUUGGUCAAUGGGCGCGAGCCUGAACCAGCCAAGUAGCGUGAAGGAUGACUGCCCUCCGGGUUGUAAACUUCUUUUAUAAAGGAAUAAAGUGAGGCACGUGUGCCUUUUUGUAUGUACUUUAUGAAUAAGGAUCGGCUAACACCCGGCAAGCAGCCGCGGUAAUACGGAGGAUCCGAGCGUUAUCCGGAUUUAUUGGGUUUAAAGGGAGCGUAGAUGGGUGGUUAAGUCAGUUGUGAAAGUUUGCGGCUCAACCGUAAAAUUGCAAUUGAUACUGGCAGCCUUGAGUACAGUUGAGGUAGGCGGAAUUCGUGGUGUAGCGGUGAAAUGCUUAGAUAUCACGAAGAACUCCGAUUGCGAAGGCAGCUUACUAAACUGCCACUGACAUUGAUGCUCGAAAGUGUGGGUAUCAAACAGGAUUAGAUACCCCGGUAGUC